GUGACAUGAUGAUUCAGUUUAUCCAUUCGCUGAGUGCGCUGCACUGACCCUCUUCCAAGCCUCAGUUCCUGUUCUGGGAAUUCGGGGCUAUGUAGCUCCCAAAUGCCCCGCAGUCUGCGUUGUUCUACCGCCGACAGCGUGUGUGUUGGGGGACUACUGGCAAGAGUGGUUGGUGUCAGCAGGGGUGAGUCUCUCUGGGUCUCACCUCACCAAGAUGAGUGGUGGAAGUCUGAUCAC
ensembl:snoRNA SNORD17 small nucleolar RNA, C/D box 17